CCCUACAAAUUGGUUGAACAAAGAUGAACAAGCUUUGAAUCAACAGGAAUGAACUCCGCAUCUUUCUAGUUUAAAAAAUAAAACAUGCUCUGUGCCCAUUUGUUUCAAUCCCCUGUUAAUGCCAAUUUCAAUCUACCAUGACAACAACCGUCUCGCACUCUCCCGAUUAUCGCCCCGAAAUUUCAGUAAUCCCGCCCACCCGCGACGGCCUGUCCUUCUGGCAGUUCAUGAUCGCCGGAUCAAUUGCAGGGUCUGUCGAGCACAUGGCCAUGUUUCCAGUGGACACACUCAAGACCCGAAUCCAAGCCCUUGCCGGAUCAUCCACCCUCCGACAAGCACUCAGUUCAAUUCUCAAAUCGGAAGGUCCGGCCGGGCUCUACCGUGGAAUCGGAGCAAUGGGUCUCGGAGCAGGACCUGCACACGCCGUAUACUUCUCUGUAUACGAAUUCUGCAAACAAAGAUUUUCGAUUGGGAAUCCCAACAACCCAUUAGCCCACGCCAUUUCUGGAGUCUGUGCAACGGUGGCGAGCGACGCCGCGUUGACGCCGAUGGAUGUGGUGAAACAGAGACUGCAAUUGAAGAGCAGUCCUUAUAAGGGAGUGAGGGACUGUGCGAGGAGGAUUCUGGUCGAGGAAGGAAUUGGGGCGUUCUAUGCUUCUUAUUGGACUACUGUUUUGAUGAAUGCCCCGUACACGGCUGCCCAUUUUGCCAUUUAUGAAGCUGUGAAAAGGGGUUUGAAGGAGGGCUCGCCGGGAAGCGAAGGCGGGGAGGGGUUGGUUGUCCAUGCUACGGCUGGUGCGGCUGCUGGGUCUCUUGCUGCUGGUCUUACAACGCCAUUAGACGUAGUGAAAACGCGGCUGCAGUGCCAGGGAGUGUGUGGGUGCGACAGAUUUUCAAGCAGUUCAAUAAUAUCUGUGGUUAGGCAUGUGGUGAAGAAGGAUGGGAAGAGCGGGUUGAUGAGAGGGUGGAUUCCAAGGAUGCUGUUCCAUGCGCCUGCUGCUGCCAUUGCCUGGUCCACUUAUGAAGCCUCAAAGACAUUGUUCCAACACCUCCACAAUAACAACAAUUAGAAGCUGCAUGCAACCAUUUAAACCACUUCACUCAUUAGGAGGACUGAAGAAAGAGGUUACUACUACAACUUACACUUGUAUUGUAAUACUAACUUUUGAAUUAUAGAUAUGUGAGUGAAGGGUGUAGAUUGAGAAAUGACAAACACUCGUCUACAAAAAUGUAAUACAUAUUGAAAGAGAACGUCAACUGGCUCGGGUUUGGCCUGAUGGACUUGUCUUCUUCACCUAGUUUCUAGUGCGAUUUUUUCGAUCUCCUUUCUCUCUCUUCUCCAUGGUCGUUUCUGACGUCUUUACUCGUUGUUUUUCCUCUUCUACCUCUUUGUUGAGCUCUUUGCUUUCUUUCCAGACUUUUGGGACUUUUAGAUGCCUAAAACGACAAAUCCAUGAGCCUCUCAAAACCCACAAAUUGAAUCUAGAUUCUGAUGACACACGACGUUAAUACCACUUAUAAAGCUUACUUCUCGUGCAUGUGGGAUCGUCGGCGGUCUUUUACGUGACGUAAACCAAGCGUUUCAUGUGCCUAUGGUUGAAGGAGCAAGUAGGAGCGGUGUCGGUAGUGAGGGGGCCUGGUCUCGAUUGAGGAUGCCCCGGAAUCCUUGCGUUUUCUAGCGACUCUGCUGAGUUAUUUUUAAUUUUUUCUUAAUUUUAUUAAAACCUAUGGACGAUACAUGUCUUUGGUUGAUUCAUACGCGUUCUUUGGUCGACUGCUUGACACUGGCUCGUAACUUAUUUGUUGUACGCCUACACAAGCCCAGAAUCUAGUGAAUCUUUUUUGUU